AGCCGGACUACCUACUUGUCCCCACCCACUGCUUCCAACCUCCACAGUCUUCAUAAUUACUUCUCCCUGGAGCCCCGGCCCCGGGCCUGAGUGACACUGCGCCCGACCACACUCGCCAAGCCCGUUUCCCACCAGAGAAGUCCCCCGGGGGGCGCUCUGCUUCUCUCCCAACACCCGGACCCUUAACUUAAUGGGGCUUCUGAGACAGCGCAAGCACCUCAGCUCACCUCUGGGAGCUCCGCCCCCUCCCUGGGCAGCAGACAGCGGGAGGGGUUUAUGAGGGUAGUUGUAAAAAUAUUCAUCUCAGCAGCAAAGUUCCUCAUGGUAAAUAAGGCCCAUUGUCCUUAAGUAGCAGAUUAUUUCAGUUCAGAAGAGAGACAAAUCCUGCCUUGAAAUGUCUGCUAUUCUAGGAAACACAUUCAUACUGACUUGAGGUUUAGUGGUGGACAUGGGUGGCUCCAGCAUUCUCCUUCUUAGGGACUUUAUCUGAGUGCCAUUUUAUCUCUUGAAUUUGAAGGUCAUUUUAUCUUGUGGGUACCACCCCAUCGGCUGCCACUAGAUUGGGGAAGACAAUCAGGAUAUUAAUGAGAUUAAGAGGCCUAGCCUUCAGGGUGUUCUGCUGUCAGCCUCCCCCUGAUAGGGGACCAGCCCUGGUCUGCAUACAAAGAAACCAGGCUGCUGUGCUCGUGGGGCUCCAAGCCUCUGCACAAAGGGGCCAGGAGAUACUGGAGUCCUAUCACCAAAGGGUCAUGCCUAAUCCGCCUGAAGGAUCCUUAGACGAUUCAAGGACUCCUUGCCGCCUCCAGUGAGCUCUGAGGAGGAAGGAAGCUGCCUGCAAGCACACAGCCCUGGCCUGCAGCUUAUGGGAGAAGUGCUCUUGGAAACUGUUGAAGGUUUGAUGAGAAGCGACAGGAACUUGGAGAGAAUUAGGUAUCACAGGUGCAGAGAGAGGCAGAGAUCUGUGCAAGGGCCUUUGAAGCUACCUGCUUAAUGGAAUGGAACAAGAUCUGGCUUUAUGCCUCUACCUAUUUUUUAGGGGGAAGUAUAAACACAAAUGAAGAGGAGAGAGAGAAAUAUACAUACAUAUAUAUGUAUUAUAUACACACACACACACACACGCAUACAUAUAGAAGUUAUAUAUAUAAAAGGAAUGCAGCCCACAAAUAAAGUCAGAUCAAUUAGUCAGUCAUGGUUAUUAUCCUAGCUAUUCACAAAUUCUCUGGAACAGGGAUUGACAAACUUUUUCUGUAAAGAGCCAGAUAGUAAAUAUUAAGUACUUUAAACUAUUCAGUUGUAAUUACUCAACUGUGCCUUUGUAGCACCAAAGCAGCCAUAGACCAUAGACAUGGAAGUGAAUGAACAUCACUGUCUUCCAGUCAAACUUUAUUUUAUGGGGACUGAAAUUUAAAUUUCAUAUAAUUUUCACAUAUCACCCUAUAGUCUUUAAUUGAUUUUUUCUCAAAACCCAUUCUUAGCUUGUGGGUCAUACAAAAACAGGCUGCUUUGGCCAACAGACCAGUUUGCUGACCCUGCUGUAGGACAAUAGUUCUCAAAUGUGGCCACACUUUAGAAUCACCCGAGGGAGUAUCUAAAAAUCCCAGUAUCCAAGCUGCACCCUGGACCUGUCAGAACGGCUGGGGAGUGGGACUACACAUCAGUAGUUAAAACUUUCUAAGUGAUACCAAUGUGUAGCUAAAUUUGAGAACCAGUUCUAAGGUUCUCAAAUUUAGCUUCUCAAAUGUUAAAGUGCAUGCCAAUUCCCUGGGGUGGGGGGUGUUAGGAUACAGAUUCUCAUUCUGUAGGCCUGGGGUGAGGCCUGGGUUUCUGCAUUUUCAACAAGUUCCCAGGUGCUGUUGAAGAGGAUGGUCUGGGACACACUUUUGAGUACUGGAGUUGGAUUAGCAACUAACUCCCCUUUGCCUCCCAACCUGUGUAAUUUGCCUCACCUAUCUCCAACUAGAUAUUCAUCUUGGUGUUUGCAGCAAACUUAGGCUGGCUUGUUGCAGCACAUUGGGUAUGAGGCAAUCUCCUGCUCUUCCUAGGACUUCUCUGUGACAUCCACAAGAAGGAGAAGGUGCACACAGCCCCACGGUGAGCAAAGGGAAACCUCAGAGCUCCUAAGGGCUGAAUUUCUGGAAACCACUUCCCUCAACCUGUGAGCAUGCGUCUGCUUCAGGUACCUUCCUGUUACCCUAUGCUCCAACUUCAGCAACCUCCGCAAUAGCACACUUGUGUGAGUUCAGCCACUGAGGAAUCAACUGGCAAGGGGGGAACUCGAUGUUUCCAAUGCUUUUGGGAAGUCAAGAGUCAGUUUUCUCAGGACUUGUACUCUGCAUGUUCUUCCUAAGUUGGAGAAACACCUUGCAGAUGGUCUUUAGCAUGUAGACUUUCCCAAGGGAAGCCUACCUGAGCCAAGGUGAGCUGGUUAUGGCCAGUCCCUUCUCAGGACCGGAUUCAGAUGUGUGUGUCUGGGUAACCAAGUAUAGCACCCAAAUCAGGCUUGGCUUGGGUUGUGGUUCUGUCACUAUCCGGCAGUGUGACCUUAAGUUAUUAGCUUCUCUGUCCCAAUACCUAUCCCCUUAGGGGUGCGAUGAGGCUUCAAUAUGAUCAGACACACCCAGUGCCAAGCACAGUGCCUGGCAAGGAAGGUUAGCUGCCAUUACAGUAUUAUUGAAUUGACUCAGAAACUUCAGGGUGUUGGGAGAACGGAAGAGCUUGGGUUCUCCCUGGGUUCUUGACAAGGGUCUUACCUUGUAGUUUCAAUCGGGAAGGAUUUCCCUUUCCAUGAACCCUGCUUGUCAUUUGAAACAUCAGAAACAAUGAACUAAGUAUUGGCAAGAUCUGUGGUUCUCAAAUCUCUCUCCAGACCACAUAAAAAUCAUCCAGGGAGCUCAUUAAAAAUAGACAUGGCUCCCUCCACCCACGCACACCUUUGGAGUCAGAAUUGAGAGAUGAGGGGUUCACAGGCAUAAGAACUUUCGACAAAAGCCCUAAGAGAUUCACCUAGAGUGCCAGCUACUUGUGAGGCUAAGGUAGCAGGGUCACUUGAACCCAGGAGUUUGAGGCUGAAGUGAGCUAUGGCAGUUGGGUUGUAGACAACAAGGAACACAGGCUGCUUAUUUUUGUCUCCUUCUAUAAAACACCUUGAGAUAAAUUAAGCACUUUGUGCCCAUUGGCGCCACUGCAGUACAGGCCGGGUGACAGAGUGAGACCCUGUCUCUAAAAAAAAAAAAGAGAGAGAGAGAUUUGGAUGCAUAGUCAGGGUUGACAUUACUAGGCCAGAUGGAGCAGGAGAGUUCUGAAGGGGUUGAAGGUAAUCCUCAUGGCCCCUUGCUGAAAUGGGAAAAGAGAAGCAGCCGGGGUGAGGGGCCUUGGACUAGGAUUCAGGAGAUCAGAGCCACCAAUGAGCAAGGGUGACCUUGGGUGAAUCAUUUAACUUCCUGGGAAUUCUGGCAAAUGAGGGUGUGGGAUGAGGGCCUUUCCACUCUGACAGGCUAUUAUUUGAAGACUGUGUGUGGCAUCCAGUCUUGGGGCCCAGGACUCCGCAGCUUGAAGUGCAGAGGGAGGCUUGCCAUUGUGGUAUUUUAUUGUGAAACUCAUCAUCGUCUCUCUCUCCUUCUCUCCCUCACUCCCUCGCUCCUUCCCCAUUUCAGGAACUGUGUGCUGUUAGAAGCCUUCCACCUUUAUUAGGGAUCAUUAGAGCUUUACAACACCAGCAGAUUAGGUGGGGCCAGUCACAAUAAACAGAUUUAUAAUGGGUAUAAACGAGACACCUAUAACUGCUAGAGGUUAACACUUUGAGGCAUAUCAACCCAGUGGCCCCCAAACUCGGUUCUUCAAAUGUGAAACUGCCCAAGCAUCUCUGACAUUAUUUUAUUCAUUCAUUAUUCUGGCUUCUGAAGAAGGAAUAUCUGUGUGCCCCUUUCACAGACAAAAAUGCCAAGGCUCAAAACUUAACUGACCCAGAAUCAUCAGAGAGUUAUGGCAGAGAGAGAGAGAGAGAGAGAGAGAUUGUUAAAGUUUCUAGAGUCUGGUGCCCAGUUGAUCUCUGGAAUCAUGGAAUUGGGGUCUCAGCUGUUCUUUGAAGCUCUUAGAGCUGAAUUAAAUCGCCAGGGGCUCUAUGAGCUGUAGCUCUAAGGCCCUG
rnacentral:lncRNA from 1 species